CGUAUCAGUUUUAUGGGGUAAAGCAAUGAUUAGAGGUAUUGGGAUUGAAACGAACUUGACCUAUUCUCAAACUUUGAAUAUGUAAAUCGUCCUUGUUUCUUAAGUGAACGUGGACUCUUGAAUGAAGAGCUUUUAGUGGGCCAUUUUUGGUAAGCAGAACUGGCGAAGCGGGAUGAACCGAACGCGGAGUUAAGGUGCCGGAGUGUACGCUCAUCAGACACCACAAAAGGUGUUAGUUCAUCUAGACAGACGGAUGGUGGCCAUGGAAGUCGGAAUCCGCUAGGGAGUGUGUAACAACUCACCGGCCGAAUGAACUAGCCCUGAAAAUGGAUGGCGCUCAAGCGUACGAAUUAUACUUCGCCGCUACGGCUGAGCAGGCCGUAGCGAGUAGGCAGGCGUGGAUGUUGUGUCGAAGCCUUGGGCGCGAGCCUGGGUGGAACGGCCUCUAGUGCAGAUCUUGGAGGUAGUAGCAACUAUUCAAAUGGGAACUUUGAAGACUGAAGUGGAGAAAGGUUCCGUUGGAACAGCAGUUGGCAACGGGUUAGUCGGCCUUAACCGCACGACUAGCGGCACACACCCCAACGUGUUGGGGGCGGGAAAAGGAAUCCGGGCAAGAUUCCGGAAAUUGGCGCGGCCACGGCAACGUAUUGAGUGUGGAGACGCCGGCACGGUCCCCGGGAGGAGUUAUCUUUUCUUUUUAACAGCAUGUGGGCCCUGAAAUUGGUUUGGCCAGCGCUAGGGUGCGCAUGCUGGAAGAGCCCCGCCUCGGCGGGGUCCGGAGCGCUCGUGACGGACCAUGAAAAUCCACAGGAAGAAGGAACGCGCCAAGCCGUACUCAUAACCGCAGCAGGUCUCCUAGGUUAACAGCCUCUAGUUGAUAGAAGAACGUAGAUAAGGGAAGUCGGCAAAAUAGAUCCGUAACUUCGGGAUAAGGAUUGGCUCACAAGGGUGUGCGGGGGAUGCGUGGGUGACGUUUGUUCCGGGGCCUGGACUGCUCAUUGUUCACGCUUUGGGUGGACCGGGAGCUGGCGCUUUCCGAGCGCUGCGUUGAAACCGCAUGCAACACCUAAUUGUGAACUGGUACGGACAAGGGGAAUCUGACUGUCUAAUUAAAACAUAGCAUUGUGAUAGUCCCAAAGGAUGUUGACACAAUGUGAUUUCUGCCCAGUGCUCUGAAUGUUAACGUGAAGAAAUUCAACUAAGCGCGGGUAAACGGCGGGAGAAACUAUGACUCUCAACCUUAGGGAGGCAAAGGCGGGACAUCCCCGAGCGGAAACGCGAGGGGGUGUUUAGACCCGCUAGUCGAUCUGGCCACAGCAGCUGUGGGUGGCCAGCGGCGACAUAACCUGGUACGGGGAAGGCCCUAGCACGCCUUGCAUUCUUGGGAUCGAAAGUGAAGAGGUGCACGGCGGGGGUUAAUCCCGUGACGAGCCUGCUAUGGGCGACUGUAGCAAGGCCGUCAUAGAGCACGGAAAGGUAUGGGUCUACUCUAGUAUUAGGCUUAAGGUACGUGCCGUCCCCUCGUAAGAGUGCGGGCCAGAAUAGCUCCCACAGGGCGAAGCUGGCUCGGCCUAGACACAGCCCCUACGGGUCUGUGCCUAGGUGGGUUGGACGCUUAAGGUAUCCAAAUGCCUCGUUAUCUAACUAGUGACGCGCAUGAAUGGAUUAGCGAGAUUCCCACUGUCCCUAUCUACUAUCUAGCGAAACCAAAGCCACGGGAACGGGCGUGGCAGAAUCAGCGGGGAAAGAAGACCCUGUUGAGCUUGACUCUAGUUUGACCUUGU
rnacentral:rRNA from 1 species